CUAAAAUGGGCAAAAUACGCCGCCUGCAAAAAAUGAAAGCUAACCGACGUUAAGAGCGUCGGUUAUUUUUUUGC
rfam:Escherichia hermannii NBRC 105704 DNA, contig: EH10570403.